UACGGAGGAUGCAAGCGUUAUCCGGAAUCAUUGGGCGUAAAGCGUCCGCAGGUGGCCGUUCAAGUCUGCUGUCAAAGACUGGGGCUUAACCCUAGAAAGGCAGUGGAAACUGAACAGCUAGAGUGCGGUAGGGGUAGAGGGAAUUCCCGGUGUAGCGGUGAAAUGCGUAGAGAUCGGGAAGAACACCAGUGGCGAAAGCGCUCUGCUGGACCUGCACUGACACUGAGGGACGAAAGCUAGGGGAGCGAAUGGG
rnacentral:rRNA from 1 species